rnacentral:tRNA from 2 species
GCGGGAAUGGCGGAACUGGCAGACGCACUUGAUUUAGGCUCAAGAUAUUAAGGGUUCGACUCCCUUUUCCCGUA